UUAAACACCAUUAGAAGAUCUGUGUCCCACUCAUCAUAUCUACCCUACCUUUAGGCAGAUUACUCUGGGUAUUUCUUGUUCCCCUUCUCACCUCUGUUUUCCACCCUAAGCCAGUGUAGCUUAACUACUUAUUCCAUGGCUUUUUAGGGCUGGUGCAUCACAAUGCAUAGCUGGGGGGGCUUCAAACAUGGACAGACAGUUGUUUCUCACGGUAAAUUUUUGUUUGGAUGAUUGGCCCUCAAUGUGAAUGCGAUACACAGCCACUACAUGGAGUAGGUGCCACUCUGACUGUAUCACACACCUAAUGGAGGGGGCACAAACUCCCUUGUGCCAGCAAAGGCCAGCUCUGUCACUGCAGUGCAAUGACUUUCUUUUCCUGUGUCUCCCUCCUCGCUGCCUGUGCUCCCUGCUUGACUCUCCUGCUUCACAUGUCAACCAGCUGCAUGCGACUGGCUUCACUCUAUCUGUCUCCAUGGUUCAGGAGAGGGUCCUCACCCUUGUCCCCCACACUGCUGAGUAGGGAGGGUGCUGCAGCCCUGGAGCAGCCCAUCUCCCAAACACCUGCACUGCUGUUCCAGAGCCAGGGAUGAGCUGCAGGUCCUGCAGCACUCUAACUGCCCUGUCCAAGAUGUUCAUCAGCAUAGCCCAGCUGCUUGCCAGACCUGCAGUAGAUGUCUUUGCCUGUUUAGAUGGUGACACUCUGCAGGGUGUGAAGAAGCCCCUCUUUCUUGAGGGUCCUGCAGCAGAUAGGACAGGCUUUACUAGAAGCAAAGCUGAAGGAAAAGAUCCCAGGCGGACACAAUCACCUGGCUGAGCAGUUUUUGCAUCAUUGUCAAAUCCAGACAGUCAAACAGCAGCAGAUAGACUCUCAAAAUCAUAAGGCUGGCACAUCCUUGGGAUUUUAUUUAAAGUCCAAGUGCCCUUCUUUUUGUUCCUGUGCAUGUUCAGAAGAGGUUUUCAAGGUUUUUACUGCAGCCAGCAGCCAAGAUUUUGCUGUUAAAUUCAGAUUGCAUUUAAACCGUACUUCUUUGAUGAGGUAAUUCUCCAAAGUUAAAAGCCAAGCUCCCUGUUUAGGUGAUCAAGAAAGGAGCUGGGGCUUCUGAAUGCUGCUGCAGUUGGUCCCAUAAAAAAAACUACCCCUCUCCAAAAUCUUGUUUUUCUUCAUGUGAGGCACUAAAGAAAGACACACAAGAACUCCAAAUGGGAGUCUAACUCCUUCUCUGCACUGACUAUAUGGAAAACCCAGGUGCUGCCUUUAGAGAAAAUGGGUUUUUUUAAUGUUCAUCUGCUGGAAUUAGGCUAGUAAGAAAAUACUUGAAGAUUCAGCAUAAACCUGCAGAGUAAAAGAAACUAGUAGAUUCAGCAGCUGCAGAUAAUUGCUAAAGACUUUAAUAGCCAGAAAAUGUAAACUACAUUCCAUGUUUACUUAUAAUUUGUGUCAGAAUUAUGUGACAGAAGUGCAGUGUACAAGACACCUAAAUAUGAUAUAAAAUUAAAAACUAAAUCUGAAUAAUGAAAAAAAAAAAACCUGUAAAAACCAUGUAUUUGAAAUGAGAGAAGAAAUGUGUUUCUUAGGCCUUCUUUGCUUGAGCAUAAAUUGACUGGGACCCAAAAAACUUUCUCCUUGGACACAUGGUCAUUUUAUGAUGGAAAAUUGUUUUGUUAAAUAAGACGACCAAGUGUAAUUUGUACCAAUAAAUAAAAAAUUCUACAGCUAUUAUGAGCCAUAAACAGAAAAGACUCAUUAAAUACAAAAUAGCUUCAAUAAAAGGAACACUGAAGCAACUGCACUGAUCUCCACCAAGAUCUCCUUUUCCCCCUCAGAAUUCCUGCAAGACAGAUGUGGAGUGGAUGCAUUCAGACAAUCAGGAAAAUUAUUAAGAUGGUCCUUAACCAAAUCCAAGGAGAACUAUCACCUAGCUCAUUCACUAUGGACAAAAUAAUGUGUUUAUCAUAAGCCCAUUUGAGUGUAAAGAAUUGUGCAAGUUCUCCAAAGGAGGAGUCCCUUUCCAAUUCAUCCUCUAAGAGAUCAAAAGCACCUUCAGCAACCAAUGAAACAAGUAAGCAGCUAUUCAAAACAAAUGAGUCAGCCUCAAACACUGAUCAUAGGGGGCAAAAAAAAAAAAAAAAUCAGGCAUUGUUUUUUAUGCACUUGUCCCCCUCUUCCUACCCACAGCUGCUCCAAACUCACAUGUUCGGCUGCAAAUCUGUAAUUGUACACUUUUGUUGAUAAGUCAUGUUUGUCUGGAGUUGAGUUUUGAGGAAGUUCUUUGUCAAUCAGCGUUAUUAAUGACAUAGUUGUAAAUCUCACUGUCAUAGUAUUGACUGAGUAAAUAAGUACUUUAUGACCUAAAGGAAUAUUUUCCCAGUGAGGAAACUGGUUUGAAAAAAAUUGCCUAAUCUUUUUUCCAUUAUACCUCAAAGUCAUGCAUGCAGCUGGGCACCCAUUCAAAGAUGAACUCAGACUGUCUGUAUCUCACAGGAUCAAUAAGGUGCAGAUUUUCUAGAUGUAUCGCUUAGCCUGAAGUCCAACAAAUUGUUAAAAAUGGAUAUGUUUUUUGAUUGGAGUGGAAAUAAAACUUUGUAUUCUUCCUAGAAUCCCUCUCUUUAUAAUUUUUAUUUUGCACAUCUGUGCUUCCAAGUAAUUCUAGGGCUUGCUUGGAAAGAGACCAGAUUCAGCCAUUAAUUUCCCCUUUGUAAAUCAGUAUUAUCAGUAACCUGACUCAGUUUCCUUUUCGGUAGAGUCACCCUCCACAGCACUGCUGGUGUGACAAUUUGCUCAUUUAAAGGCAGCUAGAAGCCAAGCUCAUGUGAAGGUGUCCCUGUCCCUGUCUAGACAGCAGCUGUGGCCCAACGGGCAGAGGCAGCAGGGGGAAUUUGCACUGGCAGCCAGGUCCAGCGUACAGCAGCUUCUCCCUGAGUCUCAGAGCCAGGCUGUUCCUCGGCACAGUCAGGUCAGGAUCCAGCAGGCGGGAGCCUUUGCUCUCCGCCCCGGUGAGAUGAUUCCCCUUUCCGCGCUGCUGCGGUGUCUCCGAGGCCUCUGCGAGCUCCCCCUGGAGCCCCGGCCGCUGCUCCGUGCCCGGUGCGGGGCCUGUCCCUCGCAACCUCCGCACGCCAAGGGCCGGGGCCGCGUGUGGAGCGGAGCCGCACUGACAGCACAGAGGCACCGCCGUGCUGACACUGGCUGGGCCCUCGGAGAAGCUUUUUGGUGGAAGCCAGGUCGCUGGUUUAAAGCUGUGGAGUCUUAAACAAUUCCUGAUCUAGUCCCUGACUGAGCUGAGAGCAGCGGAGCUGUUCAGUCUGCGCUUGUCAGCACAGAGCAGAGGAAAGCUGCCUCUGGGGCGAUGCCUGCACGGAAUCCUCAGCUGAGUGGCUCUCCCGGGCUCUCCUGCAUCACUUCUUCCUCACCAACAAGCCCCACAAGCUGGAAUGCUCCUGGCAUCUUCGCAUCCCUGUGCCAUCGUGGCUGCUCAAGGGAGUGAGCAGAGUGCACCCACCUUUGCUCCUGGAGGCACCAGGCCUGCAACACGUAAUGGAGGUGUCCGGCUGUGGGAGGAUGGAUUGUGAGAGAAUAGAGAUAGUGCUGAAGGCAAUCUCGCCCCUGAGGACUUGCAGCUGUACUAAUUACCAAAGAGUAGGAACAGCCUUGCCUUUAAUAGGUCACAGCUGUGUCCAAUAUGGACAGUCCAAUAAGGAUGGGUGUUAGAAAAGAGUGGGUUAGCUGCUUGAGAAGAGGGUUGGAGUCAGUUGGCUGUGCUGCUGUGGGGAGCAAGGGUCAGGCAGUUGGGCUAGGGACAGAAAGGGUUAGGUGUUCAUGAUAGGAACAGGUAGAAGUCAGACAGCCAUGUGGAAGAAAGAGAAAAGGAGUCAGAGUUGCGAGGAGCUGCCUGUGAGAACUCACAGAGAGAAGUACAUGUGAGAGCAUGCUUUUCCUGCCUCAGGAAGACAGCUGGACCCACAAGAUACAGUUUCUUGGAAAACUGUAAGACUGGAUUGUGAUGUUGACAUUGACAGAAGGCAAGAUCUGAAAGCUGUGUGGAACAAGAAGUCCCAGAAUUGGGGGAGCAGAAGGGCAUGACUUCAAACCAACAACUUACCAACAAGAUAAAGAAUGACAUUUUGGUUUUCAAAAAAUGUGCAGCACUUGCCAGACAAAAUCUCUGGUUUAAAAUUCUUACAGUGGAACUUUUCUCAACCAGCAGAAAAAAAAAUCAGCAUCUACAUAGGCACAGACCUCAGGACUUGCUUCCUAGUUACUUGGGCCAUCCAUAGUUUUGAGCUAAUUAACCACAGCUUUCUUCCAGAAGAAGAUAUAAGGGGAAGUUUAUUACCUAUCAACAAUGUAGUUUCCUCCUUCUGUCUCCCACAUGUUAGGCUGGCAGAAACUUCCCAGCCUCAAAUUCCUAAAGUGUAUUGUGAGCUGGUCUGUUAUAUGCUGUUUAUUAAACAAAUCCAGAUUUUUGUUUUUACCGAAACAAUUAUGAUUUUUUUAUCAAAAGAGAGACAUUGCCAGAAUUAUUGUGCUGUCUGACAACUACCUUAUCCUAAAAACCUGCCUUAAGGGCCAUGUUCACAAUUCUUCAUCUAACAGAAAUGCACCUGAGGUCAAAACCAGGUUUUGUGGUUUAGGGGUAUAUGAUGGGUAAAGCCCUGGAGGAAAGGAGAAAAUGUUUGUAUUAAUUAUAUUGAUAAUGUGCAAAAGAAAAUAUUUUUUGUAAAAAAUAAUAAAAGCUCACAAACUCUAGCAAUUAAUCAGGACUAUUUUGGAGGUGAAGUUGUAUGCAGUUAAAGCAGUUUGUUGACAAAGUAAACAGAAGUAACCUCAGGCAUUUAUUUUUAUUUCAUAGCUCCCUAACUCAGUAAAUCUAAAAAUUACAAGGCAACAAAACUCUGGAAAGAAUAUACUUGUAUUUCAAUGGACAAAGGCAUCAAUAUUAUUUUACUCUGACAAAUACUAUAAAAAUUCAAAUUAUACUUUCAUUGCUCAGCUCCAAAAAUCCAGUAGAUUGACUAUUGCACUGUUUAAGGUUUUCUGUGGGCAUCAUGACUUGAUUUAAACAUUUGAGAAUUAAGCUAUGAACUGUCAAAGGCAAAGCUAAAAAUAAAUGUUGCAUAUGUUUUGUCUCACAAGGGUGAGCAACUAAUAGAAGAACAAAAGGUUAUUGAGUAAAUAUAGAUUUUUGGAUGGAGGGAGUGGGUAUAAAGGUUCAAGAUAUUUUAGUGCUUUUAUGACAGACUGACACAAACAUUAAGAAAGUUUGACCUAUUGUGUAUCCAAACUGCAACAAAAAGUGAUUUAUGGCUUAUUUAAACUUGUGGUACUGAGGUGGAAGACAUUCAUCUCAUUCUAUGCAUGCUUAGAAUAAAUCAAAACUGAUUUGUGCAUAGGACAUUAAACUUGUUUUGUAUAAAAUUGAAGU